rnacentral:rRNA from 1 species
GACGAACGCUGGCGGCGUGCCUAAUACAUGCAAGUCGAACGCAGUGGGGACGGGUGAGUAACACGUGGGUAACCUCCCAUCAGAGGGGAUAACACUUGGAAACAGGUGCUAAACCGAUACUGAUGGAUGGACCCGCGGUGCAUUAGCUAGUUGGUGAGGUAACGGCCCACCAAGGCCACGAUGCAUAGCCGGCCCGGACAGGAUGUCCGCCCACCUGGGACUUAGGCACGGCCCAGACUCCUACGGGCGGCAGCAGUAGGGGAUCUUCGGCAAUGGACGAAAGUCUGACCGAGCAACGCCGCGUGAGUGAAGAAGGUUUUCGGGUCGUAAAGCUCUGUUGUUAUGGGAGCGGUACUUACCCAGAAAGGGCCGGCUAACUACGUGCCAGCAGCCGCGGUAAUAC